rnacentral:lncRNA from 1 species
UUGUAACAUGUGUACGUAUAAUUCGAUAUAGAAUAUUUGUUUACUUGAUAUAUAUAUUUGUUUAAAAAAAAAACUAAAUCCAUGUCUAUUAAAUACACAAACCUAAUUUUCGGGUGAAAGUGUAGCAACCCACGGCAGGAUCUCUUCCAGGUAUUCAUACGGACGUAUUCGCAGUCGUGGUGAACAGAACAAUAUGACUUAGUUUCUGCGGAAAGAUGAUUGAACCCGAAAUAUAUUUGCAUCCAAA